UGGGGAAUUUUGGACAAUGGGCGAAAGCCUGAUCCAGCAAUGCCGCGUGCGUGAAGAAGGCCUUCGGGUUGUAAAGCACUUUUGUCCGGAAAGAAAUCCUUGGCUCUAAUACAGUCGGGGGAUGACGGUACCGGAAGAAUAAGCACCGGCUAACUACGUGCCAGCAGCCGCGGUAAUACGUAGGGUGCAAGCGUUAAUCGGAAUUACUGGGCGUAAAGCGUGCGCAGGCGGUUUGCUAAGACCGAUGUGAAAUCCCCGGGCUCAACCUGGGAACUGCAUUGGUGACUGGCAGGCUAGAGUAUGGCAGAGGGGGGUAGAAUUCCACGUGUAGCAGUGAAAAUGCGUAGAGAUGUGGAGGAAUACCGAUGGCGAAGGCAGCCCCCUGGGCCAAUACUGACGCUCAUGCACGAAAAGCGUGGGGAGCAAAACAGGAUUAGAUACCCUGGUAGUCCACGCCCUAAAACGAUGUCAACUAGUUGUUGGGGAUUCAUUUCCUUAGUAACGUAGCUAACGCGUGAAGUUGACCGCCUGGGGGAGUACGGUCGCAAGAUUAAAAACUCAAAU
rnacentral:rRNA from 1 species